AUGUUAUUUCGUUCUGAAAUUCACGGAUUCCAUGUAUCAUGUCACUCUGUUUUUUUGCACACCGAUUUUACUACGCAAUGUGCGUCCAGUUCCGAUCAGCAUUCAGCCACGCAAGCACUUUGACUCCGAUGUGCACGGUUCUUUCGCAAUUGCGCGACUCUUGCGCUACGAAACUCGAUCUCUUGUUUCGCCGUACCCAUCUGUCCCGUAAAGUCGCUUCGUUGGGAAUUUCGUAACAUUUCGUUCCUCAACCCACUGCCAACGAGACAACGACGCGCGACGCGAUACGAUCGCGAGCGAGUGUCAGGUGCAGCGCGAUGCAACAAUGCACCGAUCGCCGAUCUUCUUGCGGUACAUACACGUUACGUGUCGCACAAUGCCGUCCAUUGUUUCCAAUCGGUACCAGGCAAGGAUCAUCGAUAAUUGAUCGAUCUGAGAUCGGCAAUCCUUCUCUCUUUGAUCGUUCAUAAAAUUACAGAAUCAUUCUAAACAAAGAAGAGCAAGCAAGAGAUAUUAUAUAUAAAGCUAUUAAGAAAGAGCCGCAGUUUACAUUUUCAGAGUUUAACGUGAUCUCAAUUUAUGUAGUAAUGCAAUUUCUUAAAAUGACACCGUUUCAAAUCUGUGAUAUAAGAAUGUGUAAGGCUUGAUAUAUGAAAUUUCAGCACGAUAUGCAACUUAAGUAGUAAUUGAUUAUCCUAUUCAACGAGAGACAGAUCUUUUCGUUCGGCAGAUACGAAUACGGAAUGCGCAUAACAGCGCCGAUUGACUGAAAUCGAUUGAUUCGCUUGUACGCGAGUGAUCGUUUUUCAGCGACCGAUUAUGCAAGCGUCCGCAGCGCGCAGCUUUUUCUGAAUCGGCGGUCUAUCUAUCGCGAAUACGUUGAUCGAGUCGAUCGGUAGGUAUGUAUCGCGACUAACGAGAGAGUCAAAUUUGGUUGCGGCUUUCACGCACAAAUUAGAGCAACUGCGGUAGCGGGGAAUCGUUGCGUAACAACACGAGAUCGCUUAUCCCGCGGCACGCACGCGACGCUAUCCCGAAAUGCAAAGCGCAGGAAUCGCGAGAGUGAACGUCACGGGUGCGCAGGUGCGCCUUGCAGAUUACCUUUGUCGGUUACCUUCAUCGAUUACCUUUUGUCGGCGCCUCGCAUGCACCGACUCUGCGGCUAACGAUUAUUUUCCUAUCCCGAUCCAGAUUCGAGCCUUUGAUUUUUCCCGCGCGGCCGACCUUCGACGGCAACUGCCGUUGUCGAGUAUUCAUGACGAUAUUGCACGCAGAUACGUUGUACGUGGCGAGCUCACGGUGGGCGCGAAUGCAAUUACCGGCUUAGAACCUUAGUGGGAUACUGCCCUUGGCAGUGCCGAGAAAGGCGCGACUGCGAUAAUUCUCCAGCGACAUUUGGGAAUCGACUUUCGUAUUAUUGCCUGUUUUCUUUUGCUGGCUAGGAAAAUACUGCUUGAUUGGGGGAUCGAGACAGAUUUGAUAUAAAAUCCAAUAAUUUUAUUUCCUGCAAGUUGAAAGACAGGAAAUAAAGGCAAGAAAUAAAUGAAAGUAUCUGAGAGAGAUCAACGGAAUCCGAUAAUUUUCUCAUAUAAAAGAGCUUUUUAUAACUGUAUCAAAAUAUCUCAAAUUUCCAUCUCAUUUCCAUCUCGUUCAUUAUAGCAUAUUACAUAUUGUGCAGAUAUUUUGAUCAAAUACGUGCAAAGACAAUUGUGUGUUUCAUAUGGGCACAUCGGAUAAAUUAGGCGCUCAAUAUUAGCGACCCGACAAAACUGCAGGGCGAGUUCCGCUUGCUCUAUUGAUUGCCCCGCCCAUCAAAUUGCUUUAUUUGCUUUCACGCUCCAUCUAUCCAAGUAAUAUCACACUUUAUUUCUCGCAUCCUGCUUUUGUGUGUCUCGUGCCGUGUUCUACCGAGUUCCUGCGGACUGACUCAUAGAACGACAGCUCGCUAUAGCUCGCUGGGAAUUGAUUUGCGAGGAAGAGACCGGACCGUGUAUAAUAAAGUGGGCUGUACCACAACCCGCUCGCUCACGCGGCGUUAAUUGCCAGGACACCGACGGCGACCGCAGGCGUCGGUCGCAUCGCAUCACAUCGCAUCGCAUCGCAUCGCAUCGCAUCGCAUCGCAUUGCAUUGCAUCGCAUCGCUCGUGCCACAUUCUCGGGAGCGAAGACACGAUACGCUCUUGCCAGCUCUCGCCAGGUGGAUGCCUUCUCGCACCCUCGCCUCUUCUCAUCGCCGCGGUCCCGCUGAUAUUAUUUAGCGAGCACGCGCUGGGUAGCCGGAACAAUUGCUCGCCACGACGGCGGUGUGUAAUGACGCCGACUACCGCACACCACCGUGAACCCCGUAAUUACGUUUCCGUUCUAUUACACGCCCGGCGAUUGCAGGCCGCACAAGAUUCCCUUCGUACCCUCCUUCCUCCCUUCCGCCAGCCCUAUCGAGCGCGUCCUUCUCUGUCGCGCUUUCGCGCGGGAGGCUGUAAUAAAUGCGCUUCUUGACUGUUCUCAGGUUUUUCGCAGCCUUUGGUGCGAACGGAACAUCGUCGAUCCUCGCGAAAGUUGCGAUCAAAAUCCGAUUACACGCAACGUCGAUCAUUGUCAAAGAUCGUUGACUGGGAGUGACCUGGCGACUAGUAAUGUCAGAGGCGGAGGCGGGCAAAAUAUGAUAAUAAUAUGAUCUUUAUUACCACGCUUUGAUGAUAAGAGCGAGGUGCGGCUCGAGGCUGUUUCACGGUCCAGUCCGAUCAUAGAUUAUGUAUUUUAUCAUCCCGAUACGGAGUGGAAUGAUAUACACCGUACUUUAAAAGUAGCUUCGGUCUAUUAAUUAGCAAUUUCGAAUAUUGAUUCUAUAAUAACUGCGAAAAUAUUUCUUUGUUCAUGCAACAAGAGAAAACAGAUUAGAAUCAAAGAAAUAAAUGUAUAUUGAAUUAUAAGAGUAAUCAAUUACAUGUGUAAAAAAUUUGUAUGUCAGAGAUAUUCUAUAUAAGAAAACAUAAUUUUUCAUACAUCUAAUUUAUUUUUUCCGUUAUAGAAUAUUCCAGUGUCAUUAUUCCAUUAUAUGUAUCUCUUUUCGAAUUUCUGUUUUCUACUAAUUCGUGAUAUAUAAAAAUGAAACGAAAAAACAUCUUAUAUAGAAAUGUUUAAAUAAAAAUAUUUAUUUCUUUUUACUUUGUUCCAAUAAUUAAAACUUUAUAAUGCAAAUAUUCAAUAUUCAUAAAAGGCACCAAAAAGAGGAACAAAAUUAUCAAUCAUAGCAAUCUUCAUAAUUAAACUCUCAUUUCUAAUUUCACGAGAACGUGCAAAAAUCACUAUCCAUCCGGUACGAUCCAAAAAUCGCAGUACUAUCGAGAAAGCUCGUGAGCACGUUAACGAGCGCCUCCGAAAGAGCGGCGAGCUGCAGAGAAGAGUGAUCGGCAUAGCACGCAAGGUGAAUCCCCGUCGUCUUCGUAUCUAAUCAGAAACGCCGGGAGAGAGCACGUCGUCGUGGCGCGAACGCACGUGCAUACAUACGCGGGAGAGCGAUCUCUCCCGUACGUACGCGGCCUUAUGCCCGGCGCGGCGCUCAUUAACAUGCAUUCACGCCGCAAUAUUUAUCGUUGCCGGUUGUUGCUCGAAGCUUGCGCGCCGUUGCGAUGUGCUAGCCAUGGUGCCCGUAGAUCCGACACCGCGCGUCCAGAUCCUAGAUAAAUCCGCCGUGAAACGUGAAACGUCAUGCUGACCGACCGGGGUCACCAACUCUCGGCGUUUUUCCCGUGAAAAAUCGGUACCGGAACUAAUGUAUCGCGAUGAUAGUGUCAUGACGAUAACGACCACAGAUGAAAUUCUGGCAUUUGUGCUCUCUUCCACAAAUACUUCUUCUGUAAGACACAAAGGAGAUGCUAUUUUGUAAAUAAUCUGAGCUGCUAAAGUGUUAAAUAAUAUUUUCGGAUAAAUUACACUUGAAUCAAAUUUUGGAUUUUCUUCAGCUCGAAAUACGCCAGUAGAUAAUCCCAGUAUCGGUCAGACAUGUGGCGCGCAUCGUAAAAACUCGCGCAUAGCGUUGUUACCACGCUUGGACGACGGUGGUGUUUCUACAUCGAGCGCUAUUACCUUCGAUCGAUGAUAAUAAAUCGAUCUAUCUGAAAUCAGGUCGCACAAACGAUGGCUAUCGUAGGAAGACGGAUGGUUUUGCUCCUUUGUAUUUUUUGUCGAUACUUUCCUAGAUGCUGCAUCGUGAUAAUCUGACGCAAAAAUGUGUUGCCCGAUCACGUUGCGUUUACUAAGCCGAUACAAAAAACAUGAUUAAAAUCUAAUACAAUAGUCGUAGCAAAAACGAGCACAUAUAGAAUAUUUUCCUUUCAUUAAUCUUCUCAUUAAUUCUGAACUCCUGAUAUUUAAAACAACUGAUACAUCCAAUAAUUUCUUAAAAAUUUUUUAAAUGUUAAUCAUACAUGUUGAUCUAUAUACUCGCAAUCAUGCAGAAAAAUUAGAAUUUUGUCUUCAGUAACUGAAAAAUCAAUAAAACUUACUAAGCAAAAGCUAUAAGUCAACAGAGAUCAUUGAUUAAAUUUGAUUAUUUUCGAUAAAUGUUAUCUACCAAAUGCUUCAAUCUUACUUCUCAAAGUAUUAUAUUUACAACUAAUAUUCAAGCAUGUACAAAAUUACCGGUUUGCAAAAAAAUUGUUCCUGCUGGAAUAACUGGUUGGCGAUCGUACGAUACACGCGCGAUAAUUCCGGUGGAUCUAUGAAAGCAGGUUCAAAUAUUCAAGUGCACGAACGAUCAGGUAUGGAUAUUAAGGUCGCGAUGUCAUCUAAGCACGCGUGAAGAACGAGUGUAUCACGAAAUACCUGAUCUGCAGGCUUGGCAUCCCGACCGCGUUUAUGAACGACACCCAUUAAUAUCCGGUGAGAUCAGGAGUUAAUACCUGCCAUCAUCGUGACACGAGAGAGAUCAAAUUAAAGGUCACGCAUUUUUAUUCGCCUUUCCUCCUCGAUAUUUAAUUACCGAGCUGAAGAUCUGCUUAAUUAAUCAUCCAUUCGUGGUGUCACGCGAGCAAUAUUAUACGGAGUAAUUAUAAUAUAAUGUGUAUUGUAUUGAGUAGAUGCAGAACUAAUUUUAUUUCUCUUUUCUUGACCUUUUUCUAGAAUCUCCAAUUAUCCUUGAUAUGACGCGGUCGAGCAUUUCUUUCGAGAUUCCAGCGUGCAUGCCUCAAUGUAACGUUUUUCUUUCUCCUCUGUGAUUCUGUAUCAUUUAUCAAAUUUUUAUUCAAUCAAUCAAUUGACACGUACAAUCAAUUAUCAGAUACCGCUCACUGAAUUUAUCCUUAUGAAAACGCUGACUGCGUUAUAGCACACUUGUUGCUCCGCACCCGAUCAUGCACAAAUGAAUUAAUUAUGAUACUCGCAACGGGGCAGUUCGUAAAAUCGGUUCUCGCAGUCCCGCUAAUGAGAUCGACGGAAACUUUGCAGAGAAUAUAUCUUCGCAACGGAUCCGAGUACAGCUGAACCGCGAUUCUCGUUACUUUGCUGCGCUCGCGGUCGCAAGUUGCGACGAUGUCGCAGGCCGCGGACGAACGGUUAUAAGUCGAGUGCGGAGCAGAUUCGAGGAGAUUCGUCGCGAAACGACCCCGCGCUCGAUUACGCAUGCAAAUGCGUGGCAUCGCGGCGCACAAAGGCGAGAUCGAUAUCAGUUUUUCAGCCGGCCGUCGGAUCCCCGAGCCCGACGUCGCCGUCGCGCGGCGUCGGAUAACGAUCUGGUUAGCGAUGACAGCCACGUUUCGCCCGACCGCGGGGACGCCGUGCGCGCAUUGAAUUAUAUAGCCUUAUAUGCAACGCGCCCGCGUUCCCGGGCCGUUCCUCCAGGAAGGGCGAGCGCAAGGGAACUAGUGUAAGGGAACGGGACGGACACGCUGAGAGAGUACCGCGCGUAUGCUAAUCGGCCGGGCGCGUCAAGGCUUUCCUCUGCAAGCCUGGAUCCGGCUUGCCGCCCAGGUUCGGGGUAAAAGAGCGCGACGCGACCGACCGACGAGCUCAGAUAAGCUUAGCGCGCCUCUUUAUAAGGCGCAACGACGCGUAUCCCACAUGCCGUUGCCGGCUCCUGAAAACGGAACUCUGCUGCAAUGAAGACGAGAUUACAGCCGCCCGGGUUCAGGUUUUGACUCGACCAGAUCCGAAGCUGCUGACUGAUCAGCCUCAUGACACCGGGGGGUCGUUACCGGUUACGUAUGAUUCGUACGGUCUCUCUCUCUCCUUCUCUCUCUGUUUCUCUCUUUCUUUUUCGGUGCCGUUAUCGUCCUUGUAUCAACGUCAACGAGGAUAAAGUUGUAAAACUAGACGCAGCAAUGAUAAACUGGUCUUAUAAGGAAAAAAGAGAAAACGUUCAGCAGGAUUUCGUAAUAUCGAUUUCGAGCAUGCUAUGAUUAUUGCUCGUACAUUCAGAAGUUGGGUGAAAAAUGGCAGUAGCUCAUCAACACUCGACCGCAACGAGCACGAGGAACACGGCUGAAGGUGAUGGCUAGGAAUAAACGCACGUUAUCGGGCACUGACAAACCUUUCCACAGCGAUUACGGAUAAAUGACGGGUAAUCAUCGGGGAAUGAGGGUCCAUCUAUGGUUCUAGGAAUACAUUAAUAACGUCGUUUCUUGCCGUGAAUCGACGCGCUGGUUCGUGAUGAUUACGUUACGUGCCAAAAUGCGGCUUUACGUCACUGCUAAAAUGCGCGAAUGUGGCAUCAGCAGAUGUGGCGGAUCUUCUCUUGCCCCGCAUCAACAACCUGCUCUCUCGAACGUUUUGAGCACAGCUCGAUCCUCUAGUUUUAUUGCGCUUUACAGAAAUUUAUUACUCUGCGGUUUCAGCGUGUUAUCGGCCGCAUAAAGAGUACGAGAAACGAUCGCAGAAUUUCAUAACAUCUCAGGAGCGCGCGAAAUAAUGCGUAACGAUUCGUUUGCGAGGCACGCAAUUGUAGCGAUGCCACAAUUAUGUAACGCGAGCGAUGCUUAAUUGCACAAAGUUUUACAACCGGUAUAAAAAUGAGGAAUCGCGUCUGUGAAUUGCAUCUGCGAUGCUCGGCGAGAUAAGGACUAAGGACUAAGGAUGGAUCCCACCGAUCUUCGGAGAUAGAUAGGUUUACAAUUAAAAUUUAAUUAAGACGUUCAUUAAGAACACGUAUGUCAUGUAUAACGUUCCGAUUCCCGUGACAGACUUGCAUCACAUAAUGAACGCGGUAGCACAAUGAAAAAUUCUAUCGUCCUAUUUGAUACUUUCACACAUAAAAGCCGUAUAUUUAUCAACAGAUCUUUUCUUUGAAGUAUUAACUGUUACCAUGAUUCAGUUCCUAUCGACACAAGCACAUUUUCUCAUAUUCUAAAAUAAAUUUGAAUGAAGGAAAGCAUCUUAGUUUAAAUACGAUGAUCAACGUAUCAAGUUGAAAUUAUGAUACAAAAGAUCCAUGCAUCAUAAAAAAAGUCUUUAUCAGCUAGCUUUAUCAAUAAAGCGCAAUCACAUGAUGUAACUGUCAAUAAUAACGAUUCCACGGACGAUCAGCGAUGCGAAUACUGUGACUUUGGUGUCUCUCGUAACGAGCAGGAACGACUGCAACACCAUCCGAAAUAGGAUAUCGCGUAUCGCAGCGACGAAACUAUCUCGUUAUACGCAGCGAGAAGAUUCGCAACCUUGAAACGGAUCUGGCUGACAGGCAUGACAGGCACAAGUUGCGUGUGCAACGGAGGAGGUGAAGAGGCCACGCUUUGAUUGGGCGGAUUAAUGUGGAAAUUUACGUUGCUGCGCGAAAACGGGACGGGAGCUAGCGAGAGCUAAGCCUGGCUAGGAACGACGUCUUCAUCGUUUGGCCGCGGCGGAGGGCACUCCGCGCCUUCCAUGUAGACAAUAAUUAUCAAGGCGGCGGACUCAGGUAGCCGCUCCGGAUGCAACGGUACGUCGUGCUGAUGCAAAUAAAGGUGAUCUACGGCGGUGCAAUCGCGCUCGGUGGGCAGCUCACGAUGGCCAGGCGUCGGGCUCCUCCGUUUCUCACGAUGCAGAGAUCGCGCAGAGGAAGAAGGAGAAAGAGAGAGGGUGAGAGGAAGAGAGGAGGGGCGUCUAGAUCGUAUCAGGGGAACGAGAAAAUCACCACCGCGAUCUCUGCGGAGGGCUCUCGAUCCGCGCUGCCUCCGAUCCCGAGUGUCGUAAUCGAACAGACGCGUUUGAUAUGAGCAUUACGAAAUACGCGACCGGCGCUGAACGGUGCCCAUCGCGUCCAGAAGGAUAGUAUGGAAAUGAUUAGAGACGUAGCCUGCAGCAAGGUUCGCUCUGCGUCGGAUUAUUACGUGGUGAAGGUGUACCCUGCGUAACGAUGCUAACAACGCUCUCGAAUUUCCUGCAGGAACGUGCGCAGCGCGUUUAUUAGUUAUGCUUCGCCGUGUGGUAAAAAUAUAAACGAAUUCGGGAAACGCGGUAUAGUAAAAUUAUUAAUAAUUGUAGAUAAUGAUGUCUCGUUUAUUGAAACGAAGUUAGCCAGGAACUGCUCAAUAAUUCGUGAAUUCGUGACUUUGCGAAUUUUUCCUGAAUGAGGAGAACCUUCUGGUUUGUUUAACUUCAUCCCUCAAAAUGAACCACUACUUUACCUAUUAUAGUCUAAUAAUACAUUGCGAUUGUAAAACAAUAAUUUAAAAAAAGGCCAGAGAAACUAUUAUUUGUCAGAAGAUCUUUAGUACGGGAAAACUAAUUCUGAAGCCCGAAAUGUCUUUCAUCACGACAGGGCGAUGGAAAACAGUUACUCGAGAAACCGCGGAGAAUUUCAUUGACGACCAGGCGGCAGAACGCAACCUUCCUCAACCGAGCGUGCAUCGACGAAACGAUUUAGCACUCCGGCCGCCUCCUCCUCGCCACCUACUCUUUCCCCUCUCUCUCUCUCUCUCUCUCUGUCUCUUUCCUUCUCGUUAUCGAUCUCAAACCGAGUCGUCGGUCUGCCGCAGAGGGGACAGGUCGCCUCUGGCCUAGAGUACGACGCACGCGCCAUGUUCACAUAAUGACAGGCCAGCCCCUAGCACGGUGCUUUCGUAAAAGUGUCAAUUCCACGGUUACGACGAACCAGCCGGCUAAAGCUAAGAAGCGCGUUUUUCCAUUCGUCGUGUGCAACGCUGGGGGCAACGUCCUCGCGGGAAGGGCCGCCGCCGAAGGAGCCGCGGAUUUUUCGACGAUCGAUCGUGGAAACUUCGUCGGUGGUCGUCGCGAAUUAUCACGCGACCGACACGGCGACCGAGCAGCCGCCUUCCACACGCAAUCGCGCGAUGACUCCCACGAGGCCUAAGCACCUCAUAGAUGCUCCUAGGACCUAGGACCGAACUAUCCUCUUUCAGACAGACUAAUCUCACGUAUAAAAUUGCGCGAAUAGCAAGAUCUUCGUCCAAAUGCAUAUUAAUUCUAUUGGGUUGGCCAAAAAGUAAUUGCGUUUUUUUUAAUAUAAAUAAAAGGCGAAUUUUUCAU